rnacentral:lncRNA from 1 species
UUAGGCUAGGUCCAUUGCUCAUGUACAGUCUGUUAACAGCUGGGAGGGAAGUAGCUGAUGUCCCCAUGAGUGAUUUAUAGAAAUCCUUGAUCUCCUUCUUCAGGUCAUCUGGAUCAGUAAUCUUCAAACCCCCAUCUGUGAUCAGUUAAGUAAUCUUCUUAUAUUGGUUUCUCUCCUUCAUUACAGCAGAAAAAUAUUUGUUAUUUGAGUCCCCAAGUUGAAUUCAUCUGGCUCUAGAUUUUUGUUGUAAUACUGACACUUCAAUCAAUGACCAUUUUUCUAAUUGCAGCAUCAGCUCUUUUUCUCUAAGCUGUAAGGCAUCAGUAUAGGACAGAUUCAUCUGGUGUUGGAUAUCUUCUAGUUCCUUUCUGCUAGUCUCAAUCAUCUGUGUAAUAUUCUUAAAAUCUCUAGUAUUUAGAGACUUUAAGGCUGGUUUAAGUGACUUGAGAUUGUUCCACACCCCUU